UUUCCGUAGGUGAACCUGCGGAGGGAUCAUUACCGAGAACACGGGCGCCGCCGCGAGGCCGCGACCCGACACUCCCAACCCUUUGUCAAACGUACACGUUGCCUCGGGGGCCCCCCGCCCCCGACGGACACACCACAAACACUGCAUCCCUGCGUCAGAGUAUUGAAACCAAUCAAUCAAAACUUUCAACAACGGAUCUCUUGGUUCUGGCAUCGAUGAAGAACGCAGC
rnacentral:misc_RNA from 1 species